AUGACCUGGGCUCUUUUCCUCUUCAUCCUCCUCAGUCAGGGCCCAGAAACCUGGGCCCAGAAUGUCCUGACUCAGCCUCUCUCAGUGUCUGGGACUCAGGAACAGACAGUCACCAUCUCCUGUACAGGAACCAGCAAUGACGUUGGGGGAUAUGAUCUUGUCUCCUGGUACCAGCAGCAGGAGGGCAAGUCCCACAAAUUGCUGAUUUAUGAUGUCAAAAAUCGGCCAUCAGGGAUCCCUGAUCGUUUCUCUGGCUCCAUGUCUGGCAACAUAGCGACCCUGACCAUCUCUGGGCUCAAGCCUGAGGAUGAGGCUGAUUACUACUGUUGCUCCUUAAGCAGUGUUAGCACUCUCACAGUGGUUCACGCUCAUAGGGAAGUGAGAUAA